rnacentral:sRNA from 1 species
AACCAGACUAUUCACAAUAAGCCAGUCCUCUAUAAAACCGUUCCAGAGAAUUGUACAGAGGGAGAAUUCGAUUGGGACUGGCCACAGGGCUACAUCUACCUCUCCUCCACGCUGGACAGACCUCACUCUCUGUGUGUCCAGACAACCGAAUUCGGGGCAGUGAUGUUAGGUGGAGUAAGUGACGUCACAGGUGGGAAGGAUGUUCCAUUGGCACUACCUACACAAGAUCACCCGGCCUGCUCUAUUGCAACAUCAGGCAAAGCAGAACUUCUCAUUUCAGCUUUUAGCACGCAAAUCUAUUGGACUACAUUUGGAUAUAGAGUGAAUCUCUUAUAAUGAGCUUACGGGUAUAAUAACAUUGCAUAUGUAAAAAUAAAAACGUCUCGUGAUGUGAAGAAAUGGAAUAACUGAAUAUAUACAUUGUAAUAAAAGCUAACUAUUAUAACAAGAA